ACUCCUACGGGAGGCAGCAGUGAGGAAUAUUGGUCAAUGGGCGAGAGCCUGAACCAGCCAAGUAGCGUGCAGGAUGACGGCCCUAUGGGUUGUAAACUGCUUUUGUAUGGGGAUAAAGUUAGGGACGUGUCCCUAUUUGCAGGUACCAUACGAAUAAGGACCGGCUAAUUCCGUGCCAGCAGCCGCGGUAAUACGGAAGGUCCAGGCGUUAUCCGGAUUUAUUGGGUUUAAAGGGAGCGUAGGCUGGAGAUUAAGUGUGUUGUGAAAUGUAGACGCUCAACGUCUGAAUUGCAGCGCAUACUGGUUUCCUUGAGUACGCACAACGUUGGCGGAAUUCGUCGUGUAGCGGUGAAAUGCUUAGAUAUGACGAAGAACUCCGAUUGCGAAGGCAGCUGACGGGAGCGCAACUGACGCUGAAGCUCGAAGGUGCGGGUAUCGAACAGGAUUAGAUACCCUGGUAGUCCGCACAGUAAACGAUGGAUGCCCGCUGUUGGUACCUGGUAUCAGCGGCUAAGCGAAAGCAUUAAGCAUCCCACCUGGGGAGUACGCCGGCAACGGUGAAACUCAAAGGAAUUGACGGGGGCCCGCACAAGCGGAGGAACAUGUGGUUUAAUUCGAUGAUACGCGAGGAACCUUACCCGGGCUUGAAUUGCAGAGGAAGGAUUUAGAGAUAAUGACGCCCUUCGGGGUCUCUGUGAAGGUGCUGCAUGGUUGUCGUCAGCUCGUGCCGUGAGGUGUCGGCUUAAGUGCCAUAACGAGCGCAACCCCUCUCUUCAGUUGCCAUCAGGUUAAGCUGGGCACUCUGGAGACACUGCCACCGUAAGGUGUGAGGAAGGUGGGGAUGACGUCAAAUCAGCACGGCCCUUACGUCCGGGGCUACACACGUGUUACAAUGGCCGGUACAGAGGGAUGGUGUAAUGCAAAUUGCAUCAAAUCUUGAAAGCCGGUCCCAGUUCGGACUGGGGUCUGCAACCCGACCCCACGAAGCUGGAUUCGCUAGUAAUCGCGCAUCAGCCAUGGCGCGGUGAAUACGUUCCCGGGCCUUGUACACACCGCCCGUCAAGCCAUGAAAGCCGGGGGUGCCUGAAGUCCGUGACCGCAAGGAUCGGCCUAGGGCAAAACUGGUGAUUGGGGCUAAGUCGUAACAAGGUAGCCGUACCGGAAGGUGCGGCUG
rnacentral:rRNA from 1 species